CUGUGUUUUUUUCACAACGUCCUUAACGCGAUAUCGAAAAUUGGUCUCGAAAUCGACGUUGACAUCAAGAAAUCUUAGCCGCUACAGGAAAAAACUUGUAAAUUUACGAUUCAGCAAUCUUGAAUUCAAAUCAUAUAAGCGGGAGGUUCCUACUAUAACAAGCCAUUUGGGGCUUCUCGUCCGCAUGUGCGCUAACCUUCAGAAUCGUAGAGGCUCUGAGUUCAAGCACGAGACACACUGCGUUUAUCGCUUGUGGCAAAUCCUAGUUUAGUCCCUAUAUUAUGGAGGAACGUUUAAGUGCCUGGUUUCGUCCUAUUCAAUGACAAACAAAAGUACUCUAACAGUUCCCAAGAGAGUGGAUGAUAAUGACAAUAAUCAUAGUGGAAUCAAUUAUGCAUUUAAUUCGUUUUACGGCCGCUUUCCACUCAUAGUAAUGAAUCCUUUUUUUUUUUUCGUGCCAACGUGAAUUCGCUCGACAUUGUUAAACUUGGGAAAUCCACUUUGCUAUCGAAAGCGGAAGGCCGUCUUGACGUUCAAAGUGGCGACCAACUAAAAACUAGCUACAGCAAAUUUUCAGAACGUGUGGUGCUGGGUCAAGCAGAUGGCCCUUUUGGCUUAGGAUAUAACCUUUCCCAUUCCGACAAAUGACAGCCGAUCAUAUAGCAUCAUUACAACCUCCUGAACACCUACAAGAAACAACCUUUGCUUCUCUAAUAUACGAAUCCACCGAAGCGGCAAGAUUUCAUUGUCAUGUAUUAAGAACAAGAGUGAUGUCAGUCGUCAGGAGCAACCUCAUAGAUCCUGGCAGCACGUAUCACCAGACCUGAAGUUGAGGAUGGCCAAUAUCUAAAACAUGUGGUAACUCGAACAGAUCUUAGAUCCGCUAAAAUAAUACCAACGUUCGUUGUCUCGAGGUCGGAUCGGUAUUGUAAACUGGUUCUGCAUUAUUUUGUGUCUUUUUUUAAUGUGCACGUUAUCAGUAUGCAGUGCAGGGAUAUACAGAUCAGAAGCUCCGACAACGGAUUUAUCUUUCAUCUUAAUCAAAUAUCAGCGUGCAUAGAAUCAGUUUUUGAACUAUUGUGCAUAGAAAACGUGCCAAGGUGUCGAUUUUUGAUUGUUUCAUUAUAGAAAGGGAAUUUUGAUCAUGUAGCAAUUCAGUAAAUUCAUACCGGUCGAAAAGAGGUAAACACGAUACACAAUUGGAUAGAUAGUAUCACGCGUCAUUGCCCGUACAAUAGCGUAACAAUUUAAGUAAAUCUUCACACGAUAAGAUACGUGCAUAUAUGGCUUAAAUUAAAUUUAGAAUAUUGCACCUUAUUUCAUUAAUCUGUUUUAGCAGU